rnacentral:tRNA from 1 species
UCCCUGGUGGUCCAGUGGUUAACACUCUGUGCUUCCAAUGCAGGGAUCACAGGUUCAAUCCCUGGUCGGGGAA